rnacentral:rRNA from 1 species
UAGGGAAUCUUCGGCAAUGGACGAAAGUCUGACCGAGCAACGCCGCGUGAGUGAAGAAGGUUUUCGGAUCGUAAACUCUGUUGUUAGAGAAGAACAAGGACGUUAGUAACUGAACGUCCCCUGACGGUAUCUAACCAGAAAGCCACGGCUAACUACGUGCCAGCAGCCGCGGUAAUACGUAGGUGGCAAGCGUUGUCCGGAUUUAUUGGGCGUAAAGCGAGCGCAGGCGGUUUCUUAAGUCUGAUGUGAAAGCCCCCGGCUCAACCGGGGAGGGUCAUUGGAAACUGGGAGACUUGAGUGCAGAAGAGGAGAGUGGAAUUCCAUGUGUAGCGGUGAAAUGCGUAGAUAUAUGGAGGAACACCAGUGGCGAAGGCGGCUCUCUGGUCUGUAACUGACGCUGAGGCUCGAAAGCGUGGGGAGCAAACAGG